rnacentral:lncRNA from 1 species
AACUUAUGCAGGGACAGAGGGAGAGUAACAGAGAUGAACUGUUAAGAACAGCACUGAAUGAGCCCUGAGGAAAGUUAGUGUUGUUUCAAUUUUUCUUUUUCUUUCUCACUACACAAAUUAGUAAUAACAAUUUCAUUUUAAUUAGCACUCAAUUAAGAUAAUUUUUCCCAAGUCAAGACUGUCAUGCCUAUGCUGGUAAUUAGUAAGUGAUCCCUGUAUCUUUAUCUCAACCUUCCAUUUUUCCCUAUUUUUUUCCCAGCCCCACUGAGCGAGUGGCUGUGUGAGUCUGGCUGCUACCCAGAGCUAAUCCACAACAAGAUGUUACUGCUUUAAACCCAGUGAGGUAAGGUACAUUCAAAACAGCUACAGUUUAGUCUUUUUUAACUUUGGAAGAAAUAGAAGAAGCAUCUUCCCCCAGAAACAUCUAAUUGGUAAAAGUCUCAUACAAAUUAAUAAUACUGAAGAAUGCUCAUUGAAAGAUGCCAUUGCAGAUGCUACACAUGCAGAAUGCAAGACUACCAGACUAGAUUUUCUUCUAGAAGGCAUUCUUUCUCAGACCCAAAGUAGCGCUGAUCCCAAGAUAACACGUUCUGCCUCACCAGAAAACUUGUUUCUUUAGCAGGUACUCAAAUGCCAUAGGAAUGAACUCUAAGUAUCAUUUAUUUAGUCUUAACUUUCUGGAAAAGAGUACAGAGUAAGUAUUAGACUGAUCAUACAUGUUCAGUGUAACACAGUUCAGUUUUAUUUAAGUAUUACACAUACUAGUUAAGUUUAUCUGACAUAUUAAAUUGCAGGCCUAGAUUAAACUUCUUAUUAUGAAAUAAUGUCAAGCAAAUACAGUUACACGUUAAUACUCUACUAAUUUUUAUAAAUUCAUUAAGGUCUCACUUCACUUACAAAAAAAUUAGAUUUAUU